rnacentral:rRNA from 1 species
UGGGGAAUAUUGCACAAUGGGGGAAACCCUGAUGCAGCGACGCCGCGUGAACGAAGAAGGUAUUCGUAUCGUAAAGUUCUGUCCUAUGGGAAGAUAAUGACAGUACCAUAGAAGAAAGCUCCGGCUAAAUACGUGCCAGCAGCCGCGGUAAUACGUAUGGAGCGAGCGUUGUCCGGAAUUAUUGGGCGUAAAGGAUACGCAGGCGGUUUAAUAAGUCGAAUGUUAAAGAUCGGGGCUCAACCCCGUAAAGCAUUGGAAACUGAUAAACUUGAGUAGUGGAGAGGAAAGUGGAAUUCCUAGUGUAGUGGUGAAAUACGUAGAUAUUAGGAGGAAUACCAGUAGCGAAGGCGACUUUCUGGACACAAACUGACGCUGAGGUACGAAAGCGUGGGGAGCAAACAGG